UUUUUUAAUUGAAAGCUUGUAUGAAUGGUUGAACAAAAUAUUAACUGUCUCAUAAAAAAUGAUAUAAUUUUAUUUUUUAGUUAAAAAGCUAAAAUAUAUUUAAAGGACGAGAAGACCCUAUAGAUCUUUAUAAUUAAUUUUUUUAUAAUUUAUUUAGAAAUAUAAAAAUUUUAUUAGUUUAAUUAUUUUAUUGGGGUGAUAAUAAAAUUUAACAAACUUUUAUAUUUAUAAACAUAAAUUAAUGAGUAAAUGAUCCAAUAUUAUUGAUUAAAAAAUUAAGUUACCUUAGGGAUAACAGCGUAAUUUUUUUGGAGAGUUCAUAUCGAUAAAAAAGAUUGC
rnacentral:rRNA from 1 species